rnacentral:rRNA from 1 species
UACGUAGGGUGCGAGCGUUGUUCGGAGUUACUGGGCGUAAAGCGCGCGUAGGCGGCCCGUUAAGACAGGUGUGAAAUCCCUGGGCUCAACCUAGGAAUUGCGCUUGUGACUGGCGGGCUCGAGUACGGUAGAGGGGGGUGGAAUUCCUGGUGUAGCAGUGAAAUGCGUAGAGAUCAGGAGGAACACCGAUGGCGAAGGCAGCCCCCUGGGCCUGUACUGACGCUCAUGCACGAAAGCGUGGGGAGCAAACAGG